AAUUCGAUUGAGUUUGAUCAUGGCUCAGGACAAACGCUGGCGGCGUGCGUAAAACAUGCAAGUCGAACGGCUCUUUCGGGAGCAGUGGCAGACGGCUGAGUAACGCGUAGGAACCUGCCCAGGCGUGGGGAACAACCUCCCGAAAGGGGGGCUAAUACCGCAUACGCUCACUUGUGAGGAAAGCCGCAAGGUGCGCUUGGAGGGGCCUGCGUCCGAUUAGCUGGUUGGUGGGGUAACGGCCUACCAAGGCGACGAUCGGUAGCUGGUCUGAGGGGAUGACCAGCCAGACUGGGACUGGGACACGGCCCAGACUCCUACGGGAGGCAGCAGUUAGGAAUUUUGGGCAAUGGCCGCAAGGCUGACCCAGCAACGCCGCGUGGGGGACGAAGGCUCUCGGGUUGUAAACCCCUUUUCCCGGGGACGAUGAUGACGGUACCCGGGGAAUCAGCCCCGGCUAACUACGUGCCAGCAGCCGCGGUAAUACGUAGGGGGCGAGCGUUGUCCGGAUUUAUUGGGCGUAAAAGCGCGCGUAGGCGGCGCCGUAAGUCGGCCGUGAAACCUCCCGGCUCAACCGGGAGCGGUCGGGCGAGACUGCGGGGGCUGGAGGCGGGCAGAGGGCAGUGGAAUUCCGGGUGUAGUG
rnacentral:rRNA from 1 species